rnacentral:lncRNA from 1 species
ACUUUCUUAGGCCUAUGGUUAAUAAUAUAAAUAUGUGUUUAAUAUAUACACACAUAUAAUAUAUGUAUAAAUAGAUAUAUAAUUGAGCCAUAAUUAAGGUAGUGGAUGUGGAUGUGCCAGUUGUUGAGAUGUACCUCCUCUUAAUGAUGGUGUUAGGUGCAUGAACAAAAUAUCACAAUGAAAAUUGGUAUCAAAGCUGAUGAUUCGAUGAGACGAGUAUAGAGAUGACGGAGUGAAAUGGGGCGAGUUACUCCUUUAUCCGUUUGCAAGUUGGUUUAUUAUCCGUACUUGUAGUUUGGAGGCAAACGUAUAAGAAGAAGCCCGUGGGCCACAUCAAAGAUGACAAAAGAAAUAAGAGCAACUUUCACAUAUAGCAAACACAAAAUUCAUAUUUGUAUGCUAUAACAAAAUUUGCAUAAUUGCGCUCUAUAGCAAACAUAUAUAUGUAUAAUUCGCUAUACAUAUACAAAAAAAAACAGUUGUAUAAUCUGUUUUGGUAUACAUAUACAAAAAGAUCAAUUGUAUAAAGUGAGAGAGGCGAGUGAGCGAGCGA